UAUCCUCAGCCUUAACUCGCUGCGGGCGCUGGAAGGAGGGCGCAGGCGAUUUACACCCCAAUCUCCAGUCGGGAAUCGACCUUCCUAAUGCUGCUGACUUGAGCACUUUUCGAUUUAGAAACAAUUUUCUUAGAAGGAGUGGGAUGUAUCGCCAAACUCCUCCCGCUCAUCUGUCAAAGAGAGACCCAGAAUCAAAAGAACAUAAUUAACUGCUCAAAAGAAUUCAAUGAGAGUUGAAGCCAUUCCUUUCCAGAAUCGAGGAGAAAAUCCACAGCCCACUAGUACCAGGUCCCAGCUGGAAAGUGCCAUUUCCUCAGCAGCACAGUAGAGGAGAAGGUUGUCUAUUCCUAAAAGACAAUACUAGUAUAAUAAUAUCAUGCUAACAAGAAAAAUAGCUUUCCUGGGAUUAUUGGUGUUGUCUCUGAAGAAAAGAGUUAGAAACUGAACUGGGAGAAGAAAUUGGAAUUGGAGUACCUACUUCCAUUCUUCUUUAUGAUGCAGAGCAUGACACAGCUCAGGCAUGAAUUACUGCUCAGAAGUGCUAAGGGAAUGAAAAGAACUCUUGACUAAACUUGUGGGCCUCCUUCCUGAGGGCAGGAGGGGUGCCUUCCUGAGAACUAGAAGUAAAGACCAGAACAGUAGGAGAAAGAAACAAGUUAGAAGUUUGGCGGGACAUGUUGGCUUAUACCUGUAAUACUAGCACUCAGGGAGGUGGGGGCAGGAGGAUCACUUAAGCUCAGGAACUCAAGACCAGCCUGAGCAAGAGUGAGACCCCAUCUCUGAAAAAACAAAAAAAGGAACAAGUCAGAAGUGAAGUGAGCCUCCCUCGAAGACACCAUUGCUGGAAAAGCCUAAAUGUGGAUGCACCUUCCAUUGGGCUGUGAGAGGUGCCUGACCUUUCAUGGAAAGUUCUAUUUUUCCAUAUAAUGAUCCAAAAGGUUUAGUCUGGAGGAGUCUGACAGGCCAAGGGAGGGAGAGACCUAACCUGCCUCUCUUCUGUAGGGUUUGGAAAUGUGAGAGGGGCCUGCUAACCAUGAGAAAAUCUCCUAGUUGAAAGUGUAAUAAACAGUUUAGAUCAA